UGUAAACAAAUAUCUAUCUAUAUAAUGUCGAGAUAUGGUGGCAGUUUCUACACGUGAACCGUAAAUUACGUACUAUAGAUUAAAGG
rnacentral:ncRNA from 1 species